rnacentral:rRNA from 1 species
AAAGGAAUUGACGGGGGCCCGCACAAGCGGUGGAGUAUGUGGUUUAAUUCGAUGCAACGCGAAGAACCUUACCCAGGCUUGACAUCUGAGGAACCCUUAUGAAAGUAGGGGGCGCCCUUCGGGGAGCCUCAAGACAGGUGCUGCAUGGCUGUCGUCAGCUCGUGCCGUGAGGUGUUGGGUUAAGUCCCGCAACGAGCGCAACCCUUGUCUUCAGUUGCCAUCAGGCAAAGCUGGGCACUCUGGAGAGACCGCCCCGGUCAACGGGGAGGAAGGUGGGGACGACGUCAAGUCAUCAUGGCCCUUACGCCUGGGGCAACACACGUACUACAAUGGCGCGCACAAAGGGCAGCAAUGCCGCGAGGUGGAGCCAAUCCCAAAAAACGCGUCUCAGUCCGGACUGCAGUCUGCAACUCGACUGCACGAAGUCGGAAUCGCUAGUAAUUCGAGAUCAGCAUGCUCGGGUGAAUGCGUUCCCGGGCCUUGUACACACCGCCCGU